rnacentral:rRNA from 1 species
CCUACGGGUGUCAGCAGUGAGGAAUAUUGGUCAAUGGGCGAGAGCCUGAACCAGCCAAGUCGCGUGAGGGAAGACGGUCCUACGGAUUGUAAACCUCUUUUGUCAGGGAGCAAGGAGCGCCACGAGUGGUUCGGCGAGAGUACCUUAAGAAAAAGCAUCGGCUAACUCCGUGCCAGCAGCCGCGGUAAUACGGAGGAUGCGAGCGUUAUCCGGAUUUAUUGGGUUUAAAGGGAGCGUAGAUGGGUUGUUAAGUCAGUUGUGAAAGUUUGCGGCUCAACCGUAAAAUUGCAAUUGAUACUGGCAGCCUUGAGUACAGUUGAGGUAGGCGGAAUUCGUGGUGUAGCGGUGAAAUGCUUAGAUAUCACGAAGAACUCCGAUUGCGAAGGCAGCUUACUAAACUGCCACUGACAUUGAUGCUCGAAAGUGUGGGUAUCAAACAGGAUUAGAGACCCUAGUAGUC